rnacentral:rRNA from 1 species
UGGGGAAUCUUGGACAAUGGGCGCAAGCCUGAUCCAGCCAUGCCGCGUGAGUGAUGAAGGCCUUAGGGUUGUAAAGCUCUUUUGCCGGGGACGAUAAUGACGGUACCCGGAGAAUAAGUCCCGGCUAACUUCGUGCCAGCAGCCGCGGUAAUACGAAGGGGACUAGCGUUGUUCGGAAUCACUGGGCGUAAAGCGCACGUAGGCGGAUUUGUAAGUCAGGGGUGAAAUCCCGGGGCUCAACCUCGGAACUGCCUUUGAUACUGCGGAUCUCGAGUCCGAUAGAGGUGAGUGGAAUUCCUAGUGUAGAGGUGAAAUUCGUAGAUAUUAGGAAGAACACCGGUGGCGAAGGCGGCCCACUGGCUCGAUACUGACGCUGAGGUGCGAAAGCGUGGGGAGCAAACAGGAUUAGAUACCCCCGUAGUCCCUGAGCGGGCUGGCAAGGCGCAU